UUGAAAAAAAAAUUUUUUCUUUAUAUUAUUACUUAUUUUACUUAAAGGUGGUAUAAAAAUGCCGGAGUCAGCAAAAAGCAAACUAAUAAACUAAACUGAAAAGAGGACGAUCCACUAUAGAGCAGCUAUACAAACUUUGGAAGGAAUAUGCCACGCAAGUGCAUCCGAAACUGCAAAGGCUCGUUACACCUUUACAAAUUUCUAGGAGUGCGGGAAAUGCCCA